rnacentral:rRNA from 1 species
GACGAACGCUGGCGGCGUGCUUAACACAUGCAAGUCGAGCGGUAAGGCUCCUUCGGGAGUACACGCGCGGCGAACGGGCGAGUAACACGUGCGUAAUCUGCCCUUCCCUUCGGGAUAACCACCGGAAACGGAGGCUAAUACCGAAUACGACCGGUCUUCGCAUGAAGGGCUGGGGGAGGGUCGUUUCGGUGUAGGAUGUGCUCGAGGCAUAUCAGCUUGUUGGUGGGGUGAUGGGCUAACAAGACUUCGACGGGUAGGCGGCCUGAGCGGGUGGACGGCGACACCGGGACCGAUACACGGGACAGACUCCUAAGAGUGGUAGCAGUGGCGAAUAUUGGACAUUGGGCGAAAGCCUGAGACAGCAACGGCGCGUGCGGGAUGACGGCGUUCGGGUUGUAAGCCUCGUUCAGUACCGACGAAGCGGACUGUCGGGUGGUGACGGUAGGUACAGAAGAAGGACCGGCCAACUACGUG